CACGUAGGGCGCAAGCGUUGUCCGGAAUUAUUGGGCGUAAAGAGCUCGUAGGCGGUUUGUCGCGUCGGCUGUGAAAACUCGGGGCUCAACCCCGAGCCUGCAGUCGAUACGGGCGGACUUGAGUACUGCAGGGGAGACUGGAAUUCCUGGUGUAGCGGUGAAAUGCGCAGAUAUCAGGAGGAACACCGGUGGCGAAGGCGGGUCUCUGGGCAGUAACUGACGCUGAGGAGCGAAAGCGUGGGGAGCGAACAGG
rnacentral:rRNA from 1 species